GGGUUGUGAGGUUAAGCGACUAAGCGUACACGGUGGAUGCCCUGGCAGUCAGAGGCGAUGAAGGGCGUGCUAAUCUGCGAUAAGCGCCGGUAAGGUGAUAUGAACCGUUAUAACCGGCGAUACCCGAAUGGGGAAACCCAGUGUGACUCGUCACACUAUCAUUAACUGAAUCCAUAGGUUAAUGAGGCGAACCGGGGGAACUGAAACAUCUAAGUACCCCGAGGAAAAGAAAUCAACCGAGAUUCCCCCAGUAGCGGCGAGCGAACGGGGAGGAGCCCAGAGCCUGAAUCAGCAUGUGUGUUAGUGGAAGCGUCUGGAAAGGCGCGCGAUACAGGGUGACAGCCCCGUACACAAAAGCGCAUGUGCUGUGAGCUCGAUGAGUAGGGCGGGACACGUGGUAUCCUGUCUGAAUAUGGGGGGACCAUCCUCCAAGGCUAAAUACUCCUGACUGACCGAUAGUGAACCAGUACCGUGAGGGAAAGGCGAAAAGAACCCCGGCGAGGGGAGUGAAAAAGAACCUGAAACCGUGUACGUACAAGCAGUGGGAGCCCCACCACCAAAGCAUUUGCUGUACCGCGUUGACGGAGCGAAGCGACGUCAAACCGAUAAAACAGCAGUGUAAAGUGAGCCGCAGGG
rnacentral:rRNA from 1 species